rnacentral:lncRNA from 1 species
GGGCAUUGUGUGGUCACAGUGCACAGCAGGACUUGAAUCAGGGUCAUGCCUCUCCUGCUCUCUAAAGUUUUUUGGAGAGAGGGUCUUUACUUUUUCUGCUUAGUUGCCGUUGUGUCCAUUUUUUAAGUAUAUAUUUAAGGCAUUGUUAUAGUGAAGUGAGAAUGAAAAAUCUCCUGGUAAUAUGUCAUCUGAUGAAGAAUCACCAAAGAGAAUGGUCAGAGCUGUAACCUGAACAUGAACAACUUGGUCAUUUACUGGACUCGGGGGUCUUCCCCCCAACCUCCGUGGCUUUGUUGAGGUAUAAUCAACAAAUAAAAUUGCAACAAUCACGUUAUUCCAUAAUCCAGAUGUAGUGACUGCACAAGGGAUAUGUAUGCCUGGAUUUGCUUUUCAAGGUGACCCCCUCCCCUCAUCAAG